UAAAAUAUAGCAUAAUAAAAUGUUUCUCACUUACGUUGAGAGGAUAACUGUAAAAGUUUAUUUUAA
rnacentral:tRNA from 1 species